CCAUCCACACACAAUGCUUCCACACACAAUGCUUCGAGAUUAGCUAAAACAUCCACCAGCACAUAUGCGGAGGCGCACCCGUCAAGGUCGAUUGGAAGGGUAGUUUCUCCAAACUGCGGAAUCAACCCCAUAACCGCCACCAACAUUCCCACCUAACAACCAGUAGCGGCACCACCACCACCACCAUCUCCGUCGAACGGCACAACUAUCAACGGCGCCGAUCUGUUGAAAACCAGAACCAGAAUGCGGCGGCACCACCUCCCGGAGGCCAAAAUCGAGUCUGCCAACGCCGUUCUCCAUUUUCUCUGGCGACGUCCAGUGCCACCUCUUACCGAGUCGUCGCCUUCCUUGCCUUGUCACACAUCUGUACAAAGAUGGGAUGAGGGAGACAUAGAGUUGUUGAUUGUACAAAGUGGUGGUGGUGAUUGUGGUGGGCGGGCAUGGCGGCAAGGUUGGUCUCGUCAGGCAGCGACAUUUAGGGUUGGGAUGGUAUGAAGCUGUUACUUUGCCCGAGAAUCGUGAGGAAGAGCUUGGAGAGAUUGAGCAGUCCCUUCAAUGUUCUACCGCAACCACAGCGAUGGGUUUUCAGCAAACUGCCUAUUUUGCAAUGGUAAUUAACUUUCAUCCCCACAGCCCACUCCACCACCAGCUCCACUUUUCUCUCUUGAUUGUGAAGAUAUGCUACUUCUUGGAGACCAUGUUAACGAAACAUCAAGAAGAAGUCCUUGGAGCUCAUAGUCGAAGCCAAGAGGGACCUUGAUGGUCUUGGAGGGGUCUCAUUCCACCACUUUGUGUCUCCGUAACACCGAAAAUUUUCAACCUAUUUGGUUGAGUUUGGGAGUUGCAGCGUUUGGCAAGGAGUAGUAUGGCGUGGUUGAGGCAGGGGAGAAAUUGGAGGGUGGAUCGAUGGUUUGGUUGAUGGGAUUGGAGGGUUUCUUGAGUUUGGGUUACAAUUUGGUGAAAGGAUGGAAGUAAUCGGAGAAAAAAUGGUACAUCAGAUGUUGAAAUUGGAGAUGGAGUUUGAAAAUCCAAUACAGGUACAUCUAGGUCGGUCGGUUAAGCAUCUCUCCGGGGAAGGAGUGGUUGAAUAGUUCUAAGAUGGCCCUCCCCUUAUGUACAGUAAAAGGUUCGUGCCGCUCUUGUUCUCUUUUCCGCAGCAUGCUGUUAGCUGACUUUGCUCCCUCUAUCUGUGUUUAAUUGUGUGUGCGUGUGUGUGUGUGAGAGAGAGAGAGAGAUGUGGUGGUUAGUGACGACGGUGGUGGUGGUGGUGGUGGUGGUGGUUGCGGAUAUAUGGCGUACCCUGCACAAAUUGGCGUUCGACCCUCUUCUAUUGAAACGGGAACCAAGCUCUACAUCUCAAAUUUGGAUUAUGGUGUCUCAAAUGAGGACAUCAAGUAAUUUUCUAAACACGAAAUCUACAGUUGUCUUGAAGGUGGAUCCAAAUUGGUCGCACAAUGAGCAUUCAAAGAAAAGAUGAUGUAACUCGUCUUCUGUGGGAAUAAACGAAGCUUGGAAGGUGAAAGCUGUUAAACACUCCUCCCCAAGGGCAUAUUUCAGGCCAAGUAUGAAGCUGUUACCUUGCCCCAGAAUUGUAAGGAAGAGCUUGGAGAGAUUGAGCAGUCCCUUCGAUGUUCUACCACAACCAGGUUUUCAACAAACAGCCUAUUUUGCAAUGCCUGUCUGUGCGUGUAUAGCGAUUGGAUAAUGUGGAUGAACCUUGUGUCAACAACAACAACGAUCCCAGGCAGAUACUGAUACCUACAACCGCUUUGAAAGGUUCGAUAUUGAAGGAGAUGAAGAGAUGCAGCUGAAUUUCAGUCAACAACAGGACGCAGAAAUCCCAAGUACUCUAAUCCUGAGGAGCCUAAAAAACAUCAUCGAGCUCCCUAGAGCCUCGAAUGCUCCGAAACCAGAAUUAAUUGAUUGACUCGUCAGCGCCUCGAUCCGACUCAACUUGGACAUCGAACGCCCAGAUCCUCAAAUGUCCCAAUGCCACAAAUUGUCAAUCAACGAACCCAGAGCCUUGAUCUGACUUGGACAUCAAGCGCCUAGAGCCUUUGUCCCAAUGCUAUGAAUUGUCAAUCGACGAACACUUAAUUUACAACCUUAUUUUAGCAUUAUAUUAUACUUGUUCAUUUGAUGAGACAAGCCAACGCCUCAAUCUGACUCAACUUGGACAUUGAAUGCCUGAAUCCUCAAAUGUCCCAUUGCCACGAAUUGUCAAUCAACGGACCUAGAGCCUUGAUCUGACUUAGACAUCGAGUGCCUAGAGCCUUUGUCCCAACGCCAUGAAUUGUCAAUUGACGGACCCAAAGCCUCUGUCCCAACGCCAUGAAUUGUCAAUCGACGAACCCAGAGCCUCCGGCUGACUCGGACAUCGAGCGCUAAGAGCCUCUAUCCCAACGCCAUGAAUUGUCAAUCGACGAACCCAAAGCCUCGAGCUGACUUGGACAGUGAGCGCUCAAAGUCUCUAUCCCAAUGCCAUGAAUUGUGAAUCGAUGAAUCCGGCGCCUCGAUUUGACUUGAACAUCAAGCACCAGAGCCUCGAUCGGAUUAAAAAUUCAAACCAUGGCAUCCACACCAAGUCAUCCAAAACUCGAUGAGUUAUGCUCUCGAGUAAACAUUACGGGCAACACCCUCGAGUCAUCAAACCCUAACAUCCACACCAGGUCUUCAAAACUGACACCGACCGCCACAAAGCCUCAAAUGUAACUAGUUUUCUAUGUAACAUGUGUGAUGUCACGUCUGAAAAAAUUCAGUGGAUUAUAGAUCAUCAAGAGAGUGUUCACAAAAAGUCACCGUAGUGCAAAACUUGUAAACUGCGGUUCCCGACCAAACCAGAUCUACAGACGCACCGUGACGUAUAUCACUGACGGAUUUAUAUCCGUCCAGGUCUUCAAAACUGGACACCGACCGCCACAAAGCCUCAAAUGUAACUAGUUUUCUAUGUAACAGUGUGAUGUCAUGUUUGAAAAAAUUCAGGGGAUUAUAGAUCACCAAGAGAGUGUUCACAAAAAGUCGCCGCAGUGCAAAACCUGUAAACUGUGGUUCCUGACGAAACCAGAUCUGCAGAAGCACCGUGACGAAUAUCACUAACGGAUUUAUAUCCGUUAGUGUUCUUCGUCGUCUUUUUUUUUUUUUUUUUUUGGCUUUUGAUUUUCUCGUUCUUUAUUUUCUCGCUCUACGUCUUUUUUUUUUUUCCUUGUUUUUUAUUCUCUUGUUCAAAAUCAUCAUCAUACGGUAUUAGGGUUGAUAGUUUCUGUUAUUAGAAACGCAACGAACCCAAGUUGAACCAAGAAUCACGACAGAAAAGUAAACACGCCACACAUAAAACACAUAGAUUUAUACGUGGUUCGGCAACAGCCUACAUCUACAGUUGGGAUCCGGUGAAAGUUUUUACUGUGUAAAAUUGGAGAUUACAAGUUUUCAGCCCCUCACUCUAUUUCUGUACGUAUUUCAGAGUCUCUCUCUUUUCCACUCCAAACCCUAAGUACCCUUAUAUAUCGGGCUACAAGAGGCUAAUUAGGGUUCACGACCCAUGAGCAAAAAACGGGUCAAAAAAUUUUCCAAAGCUUUGGUAGGUUUGGGCCCACACAAAGCUCAUCCAACGGGUUGUUGGGUCAUAAACGGGUCGCAACGUGACCCCCGACACCAAACUCGGGCCACAAUAUCAUAGUUUUGUAACCACGAAAAUAAGCAUUGCACCAAUGCCAGCCUUAGAAAAGAAACACAGUUUCUUAGGGUUAAGGUUAAACUACUAGUAAAUGCAUAAUUGUACACCAUAAACAUUUAUUACUCUAAUCACUAGGUUUGCUUUGCCAAGAGGAGUAGAUCCUUUUCCACUCCUAAAGCAACACCAAUAAUAAUAUUGUCUACCAAGCAGGCCAGCCAUGGAUGGUGACGAAGCAGGCCUUUCCCCGUCUUUAGUGCCACCUUUUUGAACUGUGCAGAUGGGUGUGGCAAGAUGAGCUCAGUGGUGGCUAAUUACUGAAAGAUCCAACAAUUUUGCUUCUUGUUUCAUCAAACAACAUACGGUCUUCAGCGUUGCUAAAUUACCAGUUAAUACACACUAUGGCAAACCUUGACACCAAGGACAAACAACAAUUCGACUCCACAAUAACUACCAUUACAGUAUAUCAUAUUUCAAAGAGCUAGACAUGGAAUGUAAAUCUAGUAAUUUGGAAUAUUAGCUCUCUUGAAAAAUCUCAAAGAAACCAAAAAAAAAAAUUUGAAAAUUUUGAGCCCUUUUGCAAACUUAAAGAAACUAUCGAUCCUAAUACCUAGUGAUGAUGAUUUUGAACAAGAAAAUGAAAAACGAGAAGGAAAAAAAAAAAAAAAAAAGACGUAGAAUAAGAAAAUAAAGAAUGAGAAAAUCAAAAGGAAAAAAAAGACGACGAAGAACACUAACGGAUAUAAAUCCGUCAGUAAUAUUCGUCGUAGAGCCUCUGCAGAUCUGGUUUGGUUAGGAAUCACAGUUUAUAGGCUUUUCACUGCGGCGACUUUUUGUGAACUCUCUCUUGGUGACCUAUAAUCUCCUGAAUUUUUUCAGACACGACGUCAAACAUAUUACGUAGAAAACUAGUUACUCUUUCCUGUUCAAUACAAGUAUAGAGCCUCCUAUACCAGUGCAAGUUUUGCACACCUCAGUCAUUGAUUGACGAGUAGUCUCGUCUAUUUGGGUUCAGAAAUGAACGUACAAUAAAGAUUUUAGAGUGAUUGUCUUAGCUUUGGAUUCCUAUGAUGGUCAUCUCUUUUGUUUGAGUAGUGUAGAGUGUCUUAGUGAGAGUCCAAUUUAUACUUCCUUAUUUGUUACUUGAGUUAAUGGCUAGAAAGAGUAUUUGCUAGGCUAUAAAUGGAAUGUAUAAAUGCAAUAGAAGACAUGCUAGUACUACUGCAUAUAACUGUGGUCACAUGAUGUGAUCAUGUGAUAUUUUUUACUUGCACAUUGAGAAAGGAGGAUAAUAGUGAUGGCUAAUUGGAGAAGUGCAAGUAUAAAUAGGCACAAUUUUUUUUUGAGUUUCCUGGAUUGUUCCUUUGAAAAUUUGAAAAAUGUGAGUAAGUUUUAAAAGCCUACCUCCGUUAUUAUUUGUCAAUGUGUCAAAUAAAUUUCUACUUAUCAAAAAAAAAAAAAGUGUCAAAUAAAUUUCUCCAUGUUUAUAGUCAAGGGCAGAUCCAGGAAUUGUCAAUGAGGUGGGCUGCCAAUAUUUCAUUGGGUGGGCUAAUACUAGUAAUACUAUUUUUUUGGCUCGGCUAAAAAUUGCCUUUAUUAAUUUUUUUUUUUUUUUUGGGUGGUCUAGCCCACCCCUAGGUCCGAUAGUGGCUAAGUUUAGCCCAGCUAAAAAAAAAAAUUAAUUUAUUAGUAGUACUAACCCACCCAAAAAAAUAUUAACAAUUCCUGGAUCCGCCCUUGUGCAGGCCAUAGCAUAACCUAUUGAUACUUACCACCUCGCUUCCAGCACAACCCACUCAUCAUUUUUCAUGCGCAUGCAUACACACGGUAGACUCCAACUAGUCUUGAUGGCACUGUGUAGGUACCUAGUAUUCGGGUGGGUUCAAAAUCAUAAUAAAGUAACAAAUGGUGAGGUAUAAGUUGCAACAUAGUAAAAUCCGAGGUGGAUUGAGAGAGGUUUAAGCCCAGGCAAACUUGAGAGAGAGAUAGAAAGAGGAUGGUUGUUAAUUCUGUAACUUUCACCAUUUGAUGGGAAACGAAGAAGGAACAACUAAGCAAGGGGAAAAUUCAAAAAGGAUAAGAGAUGUGGUAAGAGCAAGAAAUACUGCAAGAGGUGGAUGUGCAGAAGGCACAAGCUCUGUUUUGGUGCUGCACUAGGGGCAAAAAGAACAAGAGGAGUUGCAGGCUCUACAAGAGCUGUUGCAAGAGGUGGAGUCAGCUCUGUAAGUUCAACUUUCCCAAAAAGAAGGAUUUAAUUUGAUUUCUUUUAUUUGUGUAUACAUAUGAUAAGUCCACACCUUUUUUACAAUAUUGUCUGAUGAAUUGUUGUAAGAUAUCCAAGAAAACCUUUCAUGGUGCAUGUGUUUGCUGUGACAUAGUUUAUUAGAUACUUGCAAGGAAGUCUUAUCUACAAAGUUAGAAACAUGGAGAAAGAUUAAGGCCUAAAAAUUAGUAAAUUUAAAAUAAAUAUAGCAAAUUUGAAAAGUAGUAGAAGAUGACAAUAUAAUAUUACAAUUCAAGAUGAAAAAGAUUCAAAAUAACUACUUCUGUUAUUUAUGGUCAAUAUAUACAAGGAGAUGGGGAGAUAGCUGGUGAUAUUGUAAAUAGGAUUGGAGUAGGGUGGGACAAAUUGGAGACAAGCUAGUUUGUAUCCUAUCUGGCAAAUGAAUACCAAAUAAAUGGAAAGAAAAAUUCUAUAGAAAAGUUAUUAGGCUAACUAUAUUGUAUGGAGAAAAGGGUUGGACGUUUAAAAAGAAAGAAGGACAAUGCAUUUAUGUUAUGGAAAUGAGGACGCUAUGAUGGAUGAUAGGAGUGAUGAACCGAGAUAGAAAUGAACGAGUGAGGAAAACUAGGUAUAAUGUCUACUAAUGAUAAAAUUAGAGAAAGUGGACCUAGGUAUAUGGUCAUAUACAAUGUAGAUCCGAAGAUGCACCAGUUAGAAUAAGAAGAGGUGUUUGGCGGACAAAGAGGCCUAUCAAAACUUACAAGGGAUGAAGAAAUAAAAUAUAAGCAAGCGUUUCACAUUGCCCUGUUUCACAAUCAUUUUUUACUUUUUCAUGAUUUUUUUUUCUUUAUUUACUGAGCAUACAAAAAUUGGUACCUAAUGACAUGGUCAAAUAAUAAUAAUAAUAAUGGUACGUGCUUGCACAAAAAUUGGUACCAAUGCGUAUAAAAGUU